ACCAUGAAGAGUUUGAUCCUGGCUCAGGAUGAACGCUAGCGACAGGCUUAACACAUGCAAGUCGAGGGGCAGCGGGGAGUAGCAAUACUUCG
rnacentral:rRNA from 2 species